AAGUCGUAACAAGGUUUCCGUAGGUGAACCUGCGGAAGGAUCAUUAUCGAGUUUUCUGAACGGGUUGUCGCUGGCCUUUCACGAGGCAUGUGCACGCCUGGUUCAUCCACUCUCAACCUCUGUGCACUCUAUGUAAGAAACGGUGGAUGUGCUGGCUCUUUGAGUCGGUAAGAAAGCCUUUUCUUAUGUUUUACUACAAACGCUUCAGUUAUAGAAUGUUUACUGUGUAUAACACAAUAUAUACAACUUUCAGCAACGGAUCUCUUGGCUCUC
rnacentral:misc_RNA from 1 species